CUUUUAGGAUUUAGUUAUCCGUCUGACUGAUGAUACAGAUCCAUUUUUUCUGUAUAACCUUGUUAUAUCUGAGGAUGACUUUCAAAGUUUAAAAUUCCAGCAAGGUCUUCUGGUAGACUUCUUAGCUUUCCCACAGAAGUUUAUAGACCUCCUUCAGCAGUGCACUCAGGAGCAAGCCAAAGAAAUCCCAAGGUUUUUGCUACAGUUAGUUUCUCCAGCAGCUAUUUUGGAUAACUCACCUGCAUUUUUAAAUGUGGUAGAGACAAAUCCUUUUAAGCAUCUUACCCACCUAUCACUAAAACUUAUACCUGGAAAUGAUGUAGAGAUAAAGAAAUUUCUAGCCGUCUGUUUGAAAUGUAGCAAGGAAGAAAAAUUAUUAUUGACGCAAUCACUAGAUGAUGUUACUAGGCAACUGAACGUUACACAAAAGACAUUAUCAGAAAAAAUGCAGGAAUUAGACAGGCUGCGCAAUGAGUGGGCAUCCCACACAGCCUCCUUGACAAACAAGCAUUCUCAGGAGCUGACAGCUGAGAAGGAAAAAGCCUUACAGG